rnacentral:rRNA from 1 species
UACGUAGGGGGCAAGCGUUGUCCGGAAUCAUUGGGCGUAAAGAGCGUGUAGGCGGUCCGGUAAGUCCGCUGUGAAAGUCAAGGGCUCAACCCUUGAAUGCCGGCGGAUACUGUCGGGCUAGAGUCCGGAAGAGGUGAGUGGAAUUCCUGGUGUAGCGGUGAAAUGCGCAGAUAUCAGGAAGAACACCCGUGGCGAAGGCGGCUCUCUGGUACGUGACUGACGCUGAGACGCGAAAGCGUGGGGAGCAAAC